AUUUUGAGGUUUAACUCAAUGCAAUUUCUUAUAAAGAUAUAUCAUCCACAUUUUUUAUUUAUGAAACUGGACCUUCCCUCCCCCUAUAGAAAAUUCCAAGAUACGACCCUGUUUUCUACGAUCCACUACCGUCGUCCUCUACCAUCGUACAUGCAUAUUGAGAGAAUAACUAAGAAAUGUUACACCAUCUAAAUUUUUGCCCCCCUAAGGAAAAAAUAGGUCCU